rnacentral:rRNA from 1 species
GUGGGGAAUAUUGGACAAUGGGCGAAAGCCUGAUCCAGCAAUGCCACGUGAGUGAUGAAGGCCUUAGGGUCGUAAAGCUCUGUUGCAGGGGAAUAAAAAAAUGAAGGUACCCUGUGAGGAAGGAUCGGCUAACUUCGUGCCAGCAGCCGCGGUAAGACGAGGGAUCCUAGCGUUGCUCGGAAUCAUUGGGCGUAAAGAGGGCGUAGGUGGCUUGGUAAGUCAGGUGUGAAAGCCAAGGGCUCAACCCUGGAAGUGCAUUUGAUACUGCUGAGCUUGAGUGUCGGAGAGGUUACCGGAAUACCUGGUGUAGUGGUGAAAUACGUAGAUAUCAGGUGGAACACCGGAGGCGAAGGCGGGUAACUGGACGAACACUGACACUGAGGACCGAAAGCGUGGGGAUCAAACAGGAUUAGAUACCCGUGUAGUCC